AGGCAAUCAGUCUUUUAGGUUCUAGAACCCAGAGCUUUAGGCAAUCAGUCUUUUAGGUUCUAGAACCCAGAGCUUUAGGCAAUCAGACUUUUAGGUUCUAGAACCCAGAAUCUUGGGCAAUCAAUCUUUUAGGUUCUAGAACCCAGAAUCUUGGACAAUCAAUCUUUUAGGUUCUAGAACCCAGAGCUUUAGGCAAUAAGUCUGUUUUUGAGCUCUAGUUGUAGACUGGUCUCAGAUCUGUUUGUGCUGUCUUACCAACUAGAACAGCUCCCGAGUCAAGUCCAAUGGUACAUUGGUUCUCUGUACUGCGUUCAUAGCACACCAAGGCACAGGACAGACACGCACAUUGCUACAACGUUGAUUUAAAAUGAAUAGACAUUGAUUGAUAGCCAGAACAUUAUGUCAAGACAGCAGGCAUACGGAAUACUCUAUAGGGUUGCACAUUUUCCUUAACUUUCCCAAAAUUCCCCGGUUUUCCAGAAAUCUUGGUUGAAAGACUCUUGGAAUAAGGAGGAAAUCAAGGAAUCCGUCAACCAGGAUUUCUGGAAAACCGGGGAAUUUGGGAAAGUUACCACGAUUAAUACAGUAUCAUUUAUCAUUUGAAAACAUUGAUUUUGUGAAUAAUACUAUAUACCUCAAUUAAUCUAAUAUCGACAGUAAAUUUCCUUUGAUAUUUUUCUUACCAUUUCCAGUUGUAUUCAUAAAACGUUUGAGGUAUAUGUAUGAUAAUCGGCCCGUAGCAUUGUCACUUGCUUGUUCUAUCCAAACGGUCUCCUUGCUCCCUGUGCGCCUCUGACACAUGUACUGGAGCCCCUGAAGUGCUGGAGCAUGUCCAUGUCACAUAAACAACAAAAGCCGGUGAGUGCAUUGCUGACGUUGUUUUUUGCUUGAGACGUAAAGGUCUGCUCUCUCAGUGAUUAUAUUUUGUGCGGAUAAUCGGCCCGUAGCAUCCAAACGGUGCCGUCCCUUCCUCUCCGCUGUCUCACCGUUUCAGUUGGUGGCACAGGCACCUGCUCAGUGCGCACUGUUCUGGCUUUUUUGCAGUUAAGCCUCGGGGGUGUAGGUUCAGGAUGAGGCUUAGUCCUCGGGGGUGUAGGUUCAGGAUGAGGCUUAGUCCUCGGGGGUGUAGGUUCAGGAUGAGGCUUAGUCCUCGGAGGUGUAGGUUCAGGAUGAGGCUUAGUCCUCUGGGGUGUAGGUUCAGGAUGAGGCUUAGUCCUCAAGGGUGUAGGUUCAGGAUGAGGCUUAGUCCUCGGGGGUGUAGGUUCAGGAUGAGGCUUAGUCCUCGGAGGUGUAGGUUCAGGAUGAGUCUUAGGCCUCGGAGGUGUAGGUUCAGGAUGAGGCUUAGUCCUCGGGGGUGUAGGUUCAGGAUGAGGCUUAGUCCUCAAGGGUGUAGGUUCAGGAUGAGGCUUAGUCCUCGGGGGUGUAGUGGUCCCAUGGUGUUUAUGUUUGCAUACUAUUGUUUGUACAGAUGAACGUGGCACCUUCAGGCAUUUGGAAAUUGCUCCCAAGGAUGAACCAGACUUGUGGAGGUCUACAAUUUAUUUUCUGAGGUCUUGGCUGAUUUCUUUAGAUUUUACCAUAAUGUCAAGCAAAGAGGCACUGAGUUUGAAGGUAGGCCUUGAAAUACAUCCACAGGUACACCUCCAAUUGACUCAAAUGAUAUCAAUUAGCCUAUCAGAAGCUUCUAAAGCCAUGACAUCAUUAUCUGGCAUUUUCCAAGCUGUUUAUAGGCACAGUCAACUUAGUGUAUGUAAACUUCUGACCCACUGGAAUUGUAAUACAGUGAAUUAUAAGUGAAAUAAUCUGUCUGUAAACAAUUGUUGGAAAAAUUACUUGUGUCGUGCACCAAGUAGAUGUCCUAAUCGACUU
ensembl:lncRNA